UACGGGGGGUGCGAGCGUUGUCCGGAAUCACUGGGCGUAAAGGGCGCGUAGGUGGUCUGAUAAGGGUGUGGUGAAAGUCCGGGGCUCAACCCCCGGAUCUGCCGUGCCGACUGUCAGACUCGAGGACUGUAGAGGCAGGCGGAAUUCCGGGUGUAGCGGUGGAAUGCGUAGAGAUCCGGAGGAAGACCGGUGGCGAAGGCGGCCUGCUGGGCAGUUCU
rnacentral:rRNA from 1 species